rnacentral:sRNA from 1 species
GGACCGCCGAGAUUGGAGCCUCUGCGCUU